UACGGGGGGAGCAAGCGUUGUUCGGAUUUACUGGGCGUAAAGGGCGCGUAGGCGGCGUGACAAGUCACUUGUGAAAUCUCCGGGCUUAACCCGGAGCGGCCAAGUGAUACUGUCGAGCUCGAGUCCGGAAGAGGAGUGUGGAAUUCCUGGUGUAGCGGUGAAAUGCGCAGAUAUCAGGAGGAACACCGGUGGCGAAGGCGGGUCUCUGGGCCGUAACUGACGCUGAGGAGCGAAAGCAUGGGGAGCGAACAGG
rnacentral:rRNA from 1 species